AGCUCCGAUAGCGUAUAUUAAAGUUGUUGCAGUUAAAAGCUCGUAGUUGAACUUCUAAAGUUAGGAUAGUCGCCAAUCGGUUUGACAUGUCCUUCUUUAUCCGCUUUGAUUUAGCAAUACGCACUUUGUUGGGCGAUUGUGUAAUCAAGCAAUUUACUUUGAAAAUUAGAGUGUUUCACGCAGGCGAUUUGCUGGAAUACAUUAGCAUGGAAUAAUAGAACACGACCUCUUAGGCAUUUUAUUGGUAUAUGACUGGAGGUAAUGAUUAACAGGGACAGUUGGGGGCAUUAGUAUUGCAUUGUCAGAGGUGAAAUUCAUUGAUUAGUGCAAGACUAACUUAUGCGAAAGCAUUUGCCAAGGAUG
rnacentral:rRNA from 1 species